rnacentral:rRNA from 1 species
UACAGAGGGUGCGAGCGUUGUCCGGAAUUAUUGGGCGUAAAGAGCUCGUAGGCGGUUUGUCGCGUCUGCUGUGAAAACCUAAGGCUCAACCUUGGGCUUGCAGUGGGUACGGGCAGACUAGAGUGCGGUAGGGGUGACUGGAAUUCCUGGUGUAGCGGUGGAAUGCGCAGAUAUCAGGAGGAACACCGAUGGCGAAGGCAGGUCACUGGGCCGCAACUGACGCUGAGGAGCGAAAGCGUGGGGAGCGAACAGG